GCCACGGUGGUCUAGCGGUCAGAACACUAGCCUUGUAAGCCUGGGGUCCCGGGUUCAAUUCCCUGUGGUG
rfam:Zootermopsis nevadensis contig22276, whole genome shotgun sequence.